AAUUUUUAUUCCGAAAUAACUCUAUAUUUAUCAAAUGUUCAUGAAUAGAGGAAAAAACGUCAUUUUUGCUGCAUGUUUAUCAAAAUUAAAAAAAUUGCGCUAUUUACAGUUUUAUAAAAUUUGGGUCACAUAAUCUCCUUGCAAAAUGAAACAAAUUGCUGUUUUAAAAAAUAGGGGUCCAUGCACUCGUUUUCAAAUUAAAUCAGUUUGAAUGAUAAAAGUCAGUCGAAAAAUGCAUCUUUUCCCGAUAUG
rnacentral:lncRNA from 1 species